UCUAAUCUUUUUUUUUUUUUUUUCCCCCUCCAGUGACUUGUGACGCCAGGCAGUGAGAAGCGAGUCGUCAAAGAAAACUCACCGGGCAGAUCGGCAGGGGCGGAAGUCAGCUGCCGAGUGGGGAGGCGCCCUCUGCGGGGAUGAGGUCAUCGCCACCUUUGACUCGGUGAUCCCAGAUAACCGACCAGGCUUUUCCAGGCUCAGGUGCCUGGGGACUUCCUCCUUCUCCACCUGGUCCCCGGUGCCUGAACCCAAAGGACAGAAUUCCUCGCAUGCUCCUUGGAUAGAAAAAGAGGAACUAGUAAUGUAGACCAAGCGACCAACCAACUAGACCCCAAACCUGCUCACCAGUAGCCCGUUUCUUGGUCAUGGGUCAGGUGUACACUCCGAAAAAGAAACGGAUGCUAGUAAGAUCAUGGAAAGGCUCGAGAGUCGGAAAAGGUGAUUAACGACAGUCCUGUGUUUUAUACUGAUAUUAAUCCCAAAUGAAUAUUGACUCGAGUGGCAAAAGUUGACUGACAGGGUGCCACAAGUGAGGAACGGUUGGCAUCCUCUACCUUUCUUUCCCGGCUGCGAGGGGGGCCCACACCUGCUGCCUCUUCCCACUCCUCCAGCCCUGGGAACAUGGCCGCCCAGCAUGCGCUCUGAAUCAGUCACCUUAGCCCUGUGUAGAGAGGCUCACCUGUGAUCCCAGCUGCUGCGAGGCAGGGGCAGGAGGAUCACUUGAGCCGGGAGGUUAGGCCAACCUGGGCAACAGCCAGACCCCUGUCUCAAAAAAAAAAAAAAAAGAUAUCACUAAGUGGUCAAGUUGGGCGACCCACCCCUGCCUCUCCUCCCUCUGAUCUCUGCAGGGUCCUGCCAUCUGCUUUUCUGGCCUUCCCUGAGGACCCUUCUUUUCCUUUGAGGGUGGUCAUAAGCCUCUUCCAAGUCUUGAUCUCCCAUCAUCCAUUAUUAUCGCAAGCCAAUUGCCUUUCACUCCAACCUGGAUGGUCCUGCUUUGGUGGGGCUUGAAGCCUACAACUUGUGAGGGAGGUUUUUAAAGCACAACAAUAAAAACUUACAAACAAAUGCUAGGUAUCUGUCCUUGGAAGGGCCCAGGGAAAAUGAGGGACAUGGAAACGGAAAGGUCAAAGCAAAUUCACUCCUUAUUUUCCCACUGCCAGGGACUCUUGCUUCAUAUUCUUUUAGUUCUAAAGUCCGAAUUCAGUCUAUAAAGUGUACUCAUCUUUCUGUCAGAACUGAUCCUCU
rnacentral:lncRNA from 1 species